AGGAAUCUGCCUAUUAAUGGGGGACAACAUCUCGAAAGGGAUGCUAAUACCGCAUACGCCCUACGGGGGAAAGCAGGGGAUCACUUGUGACCUUGCGUUAAUAGAUGAGCCUAAGUCGGAUUAGCUAGUUGGUGGGGUAAAGGCCUACCAAGGCGACGAUCUGUAGCGGGUCUGAGAGGAUGAUCCGCCACACUGGGACUGAGACACGGCCCAGACUCCUACGGGAGGCAGCAGUGGGGAAUAUUGGACAAUGGGGGGAACCCUGAUCCAGCCAUGCCGCGUGUGUGAAGAAGGCCUUAUGGUUGUAAAGCACUUUAAGCGAGGAGGAGGCUCUCUUGGUUAAUACCCAAGAUGAGUGGACGUUACUCGCAGAAUAAGCACCGGCUAACUCUGUGCCAGCAGCCGCGGUAAUACAGAGGGUGCGAGCGUUAAUCGGAUUUACUGGGCGUAGAGCGUGCGUAGGCGGCUUUUUAAGUCGGAUGUGAAAUCCCCGAGCUUAACUUGGGAAUUGCAUUCGAUACUGGGAAGCUAGAGUAUGGGAGAGGAUGGUAGAAUUCCAGGU
rnacentral:rRNA from 1 species